rnacentral:misc_RNA from 1 species
UCCGGCUUAUCACCGGCAGUUUCUUUAGAGUGCCCAACUGAAUGAUGGCAACUAAAGACGAGGGUUGCGCUCGUUGCGGGACUUAACCCAACAUCUCACGACACGAGCUGACGACAGCCAUGCAGCACCUGUCACCGGCCAAUUGAUGAGCUCCGUCUCCGGAGCCCCGACCGGGAAGUCAAGGGCUGGUAAGGUUCUUCGCGUUGCCUCGAAUUAAACCACAUGCUCCACCGCUUGUGCGGGCCCCCGUCAAUUCCUUUGAGUUUCAGCCUUGCGGCCGUACUCCCCAGGCGGGGCACUUAAUGCGUUAGCUGCGACACCGAAGGGGUCGAUCCCACCGGCAUCUAGUGCCCAUAGUUUACGGCGUGGACUAC